GUGAACGCUGGCGGUAGGCCUAACACAUGCAAGUCGAACGGCAGCACAGUAAGAGCUUGCUCUUACGGGUGGCGAGUGGCGGACGGGUGAGGAAUACAUCGGAAUCUACUUUUUCUUGGGGGAUAACGUAGGGAAACUUCCGCUAAUACCGCAUACGACCUACGGGUGAAAGCAGUGGAUCUUCGGACCUUUCGCGAUUGAAUGAGCCGAUGUCGGAUUAGCUAGUUGGCGGGGUAAAGGCCCACCAAGGCGACGAUCCGUAGCUGGUCUGAGAGGAUGAUCAGCCACACUGGAACUGAGACACGGUCCAGACUCCUACGGGAGGCAGCAGUGGGGAAUAUUGGACAAAGGGCGCAAGCCUGAUCCAGCCAUACCGCGUGGGUGAAGAAGGCCUUCGGGUUGUAAAGCCCUUUUGUUGGGAAAGAAAAGCAGCAGGUUAAUACCCCGCUGUUCUGACGGUACCCAAAGAAUAAGCACCGGCUAACUUCGUG
rnacentral:rRNA from 1 species